UUAUUAUGAAAUCUAUUCUUUGUGCAAGCUUUGCUCAUUUAUAUUGAUAUUGAUGAGUUUGUAGCAAUUAUAAAGUCUUCAAUCUAUAUAUUCUUGGGGUUUGUUUUAUUUUCCUCUUUCUCAAAAAUUUUUGUCAAUGUGUGAAGUUUCAUUGCACAAUGUUCAGAAUUGAUCUAGCUGGAGACUGUUAUUAAUUCUCUUUUUAGUCACUUUCCCAAUUUAGCUCAUAGAUGGACGAUGAUUGUUAAAUCACUAGUUGCCCCCAAAGUUUAGGCUUUUAUACGUUGAAUCACUAGUUGUCUCAAAAACUUAAUCUCAUUAGGAAUGGUGAAUUUUAUUUAUAUUCGAACAAUGACAUAAUCGAACUUUCAGUUCAGUUCACUUCUCCAAUCUUUUUGGACGGUGUUAUGAUGAUUUGACCAUGCAUAGAGGUAUUCUAUAUAUUCAGAUCUUUAAGAAAUUUCUCUCAAAAAGCAAAAAGAAAAAAAAAAGAAAAAAAAAAGAACACCCAAAAUCUAUGAAAAUAUAAAGAAUACAAGUUCUAGUUGACUUGUUUUCAAAGAACCUUUUAUUAGAUGCUAAGAUUGUUCGUGUAAGAAAUAAAAUUUUCUAAACUGUUAUGCUCCAGUUUUUUCCCCAAGCCAAGCCAUUGUGUACAGUGUACUGGUUUCUGUCUAAGAAGCCAGCUGAACCGUCCAUCUUAGGUGCUUACUUGGCCACAGUAUGCAUGGUUUCACACUGAAUUUUUAGAGAUUUUUAUUAGGGUCUGAAAGGUAAUUUCCAUUGGCUCAUGGAUGAAGGUUUUGUCCAUUAAUUUUUUUUUCUUAUCAAUUUUUUUUUUUUUUUCAACUCACAUUCGUAGUUUUCUGUUUAUUAGUCAAUGGCUCAUUGGCCAAAUUUAGAGCCUCAACUGAGGCUGAAUUGUUAUAAAUGUGGUGUUGUCAUGAAAGAUGAAUUUUAAAGUCAGAACAGAAAGCAUUGGCAUUUAAGGAUGUAAACUUCUUACUGACACCUUUGUAUGUUUAGGCUACUGCUUUUGGCAGGAUCCGAUUUCCCUCUUUUUUAGGUUAUUUUAUUUUAUUUUUAACUUUCUAUUGUAAUUUUUAGAUCCUUUUGUAUGCAAUCUGGCUACAUGACAUUUCUCCUUUCUCUAAUAAAGUUGUUCAAAUAAAAAUGUUAAUCAAUCCUGAGGCAGAAUCAUUCUGUAAGAGUUUAAAACCGCUUGCAUUGCUUCUAUCUUGUUAUUUUAAUUAUUACGUGUAUGAUCUUGUUCUCUUAUUGUUAAGUAUUUUACCUGAGCCAUUCCACUUGUAUGUGGAUAUGUCUGACUCAGCUGACUGGAAUAGCAGUUUGUGGGACUUUGCAAAGGUGGGUAAGGGGUGCAGUGGUCUUAGGUUGGAAAGCAUUAAAAAGAAGUAGAUAACCAUCCUUUAUGAGGUUUUGAGGCUUAUAGUUCUUAAAAUUGUAUGCUGUGGAAGAGGUUUUAUUUUUCCUUUUUUUUUUUAUUUUUGGUUUCAGUAAGGUAGUUCAUGUGCUCAUUGUAUGGCUUUUAUUUACUUUUUUUGUUGACUAUUCAGGGUCAAUUAUUCCAACUGAUGCAACGCCUAGAAAGCACCACACCUCAUUUCAUACGAUGUAUCAAGCCCAAUAACCUUCAGUCUCCCAAAUUGUAUGAGCAAGGACUUGUGCUGCAGCAGUUAAGAUGUUGUGGAGUCCUAGAAGUAGUACGAAUAUCAAGAUCUGGCUUUCCCACCAGAAUGUCUCACCAGAAGUUUGCCAGAAGGUAAAGAAAGAUAAUAUUUUAUCUUCAGUUACAGCUCUAGAAAUUGUUAUAUAUUUCCUAAUUGAUUACGAAAUCCUUCUUUUCUUUCUUUGGGGGGAUAAAUCUUACAUCAGAUAUGGUUUUCUUCUGCUGGAGAAUGCCGCGUAUCAGGAUCCACUAAGUGUUUCAGUUGCAAUUCUUCAUCAGUUCAAUAUCUUGCCUGAAAUGUAUCAAGUUGGCUACACAAAGUUGUUUUUCCGAACUGGACAGGUACUUUAUAUAUAAUUGAUCUUGGUUAUUGACUAAAUUAUUAGUUUCUCUCUUUUCUUUUCUUUUUUUUUUCUUUGGGUGGGGAGGAUGGUGGUGCAUGGCAUUUACAUGGAUUCUUAAUACUAUUCAAGAAGUCCUGCCUCCCAUUGGAAUGAGAAAAUGAAUUUGGAGGAGAAAUUGCACAUGAUAGUUUGAAGUUUCCCCUUAGGAAGGGGUGGUCAUAUUUUCUUGUCGUAGCUCUGUAGGGCUGUGAUUGAGCCAAUCCGAGCAACACUUUGGCUGUUUGGGUCAAGUACUAGAAUUUGUUGUUGGUGAGUAGCUUUGUCACCAUGUUGAGUAGGAGACCACAAGAAGAUACCACAUGGUUAAGUAGAGAAAAAAUGAGGCAUGACAGUCUCUGUAUAAGGGUUUUGUGCAGCCCAUAGCAGACCAUAAUUGUGAAGACAAGCUUUGUCUAAUGUGUGUGAGUACUCUAUAAUUGGGUGUAUUGGGUUUUGCGCUUGCGCCUGUGAUGUUAUUUUAUUUCUUUCUUUUUGCUAAAAGGUAAAAAACAUGUGUACAAGUAUCGAAUAAAGAUCUGUUACAGGGAGGUAAUAGAAAGUGUGAUUUUAGAUAGAUUAGAAUGGCGGCAAAGAGUACUUCUAGCCUACUUUGCUUAAUUUGAGGAUCUAGAUAGUCAACCCCAAUUUACUUGGGGCUUAGUUGAGUUGAGUGAAGGGGUUGAGAGUUUUUUAGUUCUUAUUGGUGGUAAUGGCUUCUCUCCUUGUUCGUGUAUGUAGAUAAGUUUGUAAUUUGCAUAUUCAAUUUAUUUUAAUAUUGUUUGAUAUCUAGGGUGUGCAAAUAAAGAAAAAUGCUUGUUGUCCAUCUUUUUGGUCCAUCUUUGGUUUUUUUUUUUUUUUUUGCAGGUGAUGCAGCGCAGUGAUGGGCCUCUGUUUUUUAGGCGCAAAAAAGAAAAAGAAAAAAAAAGACCAAAGAUGGAUAACAAGCAUUUCUCCUAAAUAUUUGUUUUAGUUCAUCUCAAAACAUGCGGGAAAAGCUUGGCUGCUUAAGCUUGCAUCAGCUUGAUGAUAAUUGAGUCUGAGCUCUAGCUCGUUUUGAGCUUGAUCUUGGACUUUGACUUGGGCUUGAAGCUCAUCCUCGUUGGCCUCGCCCACCUUGUCAACUUCCUUCCCUUUCUUUCACCAGUACACAUAUCAAAAUCAAUUCUGUCUUACCUCCUGUUGUUAGAUCAUUUAAGACAAAUCUACUAAAAUGGAGGGUAGAAAAUGGAGAUUAGGAACACAUAUAGAUAGAUUAGAGACAUCAAUCUUGAUGAACUUCGCAGCUGUGGUGUGGAUCACCAUUUCUAUGAACUAGCUACGUCCACACCAAAGGAGACACCAAAGUGCUACAAAUUCUAUCACCAUCUCCUCAAUCAAGAAAGGAAAAUCAAAAUCCAAAAAAGCCCUUGAUGAUAAGGUGUGGUUGUUGCAUAAAAGAGAGAAGCUUCAUUUGUGGGUUGGGAUCUGGAGAUGAUGGAGAGAGCAUAGAGACCCUUGCCUUUUUUUCCCUUAAAGAAAAAUGUUUAGAAGGGUAAUUAAAUUCUUAAUAAGUCUAUAUACUCCU
rnacentral:precursor_RNA from 1 species